rnacentral:lncRNA from 1 species
UUGUGGAUCCGCUGUGUACUUGGGCAUCUAGGAAUUUCACCAGGUGGUGUUACCAUCAUAUGGGGAACCUUAGAAGAUGUCAUAUAUCUCAGAAAAUCCACUACACUAUUGGCCCUUAGAAAAGAAAUUGAAAAUGCAUGUGCAGCAAUAUCAAUGACCAAGGUUACCCAAGCAACAGUUCACCAUAUUAAUAAAUGUCCAGAAGCUAAUGGCCACCAUUUUGACCACCUCUUGUAUUUGUAGAGGCCAAAGGUAACUUGUAUUAAUCUCAUGAUAUCUCAAUAAGUUUAGUAUUAAAAUGUUUAUACAAGUUUUUCUUUUCCUGAAGUAUGUAUACAUAUUUUUGGCAGACUGAAUAUUUAUAAACCUAUCUAUGUACUACUAAUACAGAGAAAAAACCCUCCCAACUUGAACGAUGUUUGGGAUGAGUUUGUGUUCUCUAAAAUUGAAGAAUGAA